AUUUAUGUUACUUGUAAAUUUUUUUAUAUUGUAAUUUUUUUUAAGCGACAGAAUCUGGAGAUCCUUUUUUCCCUUCCUAUUAUUCCUUCAUUUGUACGGAAUUAUCAUUAUAAAUUUUCUUUUCUUUCUAUUCUUUUCUUAUAUUUCGCCUUCUCUUUAAUAGAUGUCAUUUUCUUAAUUCUUUACUUAUUUUAAAUUUCAUACGGAAAAGUUAUUGCGCGCAGGUCGAGUUUUUUUUUUUUAAUUGGAUUUAGGUUUUCGAAGAGGAAGUCUCACUCUUUUUGGUGGCACGAGACUCAACGUGUAGCGUCGUUGUGUAGGCGUUUUGGUUGACAUUUUGAGUGAUUCAUUUGGUCAUAAUUUGAUUUAACGCAUCCGAAUUAAUCGGGAUCAUCACAUCGACAAUUUAUUUGAGAACAAGUUUAAGUUCUUUCUUACGGUUAACCCGGCUAUUUUGCGUUUUGAGUCGAUUUACUUUUCACACGUGCGAGGCCUUUAACAUCUGAGGCCUCCUAUUUUGGGAUAUUAUUAUUCCGGGAAUAGUUUCUUUGGAUUUUUACGUUGGGAUUUUUCCAUUCCAAAA